CACCACUGUUUGUUUUUGUGGGUUUUGCAAAACCUGUAUCAAUAGUUCUUAAACUUUAUUUUUGCAAAAAAAAAUCCAUAAAUCGCAUUUAAGACUGCGAAAAUGGGCCUUUGCUGUUUCCCGUGACUUGUUGACCUUGAAUUCACGCCAAAUCUUUGACUUUUCUAGUGUAUUAUUUUGAGGCGAGAACUCAAGCUUGUCGGGCGUAACCAUGCGACGAGUUUUAAGAUUAUCGCCUUCAAAUUUUCGGGAUCUGAUAGAUAAUUAUGCCAUGUCAUAAAGUGUGUAAGGAAUUUUCAAAUGAAAAUCGCUUUUAUAGCACUUUUCGUGAUCAAAUUUCGCCAGAAAUGAGAUUUUCAACUUUGAUUCGUGAUAUUUUGUUUACAUUGUCAAAAAAAAGCCCCCACACACUUUGAUAGAUCAUCUAUCUGUCAUUGAGAUGCAAUUACGUGCAAGUGCAUGCGCAAUAACACGAAGGUGCAUUACGCUCUAGAGUAAACUCCGUACUUUUGAGUUUGAGGCCUCAAAACUUAAACACGGAAUUAGCUAUUGCAAAAAUAAAACUUGCAUGAGAUAAUUCAAUCUUUUAUCUUUUAGUUGAUAUAUAGUUUGUAAAUGUAGUGAAAACACACGGACAGGUCGUUUACCUUUACCGAGACCUUAAGGAAUCAAAAGACAAGGCCCUUGCCAAGUCAUGGAUAAUAAAAUGGUAAUUUGAGACAAAAGCUUGGUUUUGGUGCAUUUAUUUUAACACACUUUAGAGUAAAAUGGUAUGUAGAGUAUGGACCAAACCAAUAAAUUUCUUGGCUUUAUGUGGUUUUAUUUAUACAUAGGGUAUUUUGUCUUAGACAAGUGUAAACAAAGGUACUACUGUGAUAUUGGAAUAACUGCUUGAGGUAAUUCAAUGCCCAUCUGAUUGAUUCCCUGGGGACAACCAGUCGACCCAGAUACCAUUGAUGGAAAGGGACCCUCCAGCUCUUGGGUGAUUUUGCUUACAGACAUUUAAAGAACUGAUUCCUGCUCUUGGCAAACGAAGUUCAGUCAAGAAAUUCAUGGAGACAUUGGAGACAAUGCUACUCGUAGCAAAGUGCGGAUAAAUUCCGAAGCUUAAAUUAUAAGAGCAAGAAUGUGUUGGAGCUAAUCCAGCAAGCAUGCAUGCAAGAAAUAAACAAAGAAUUUGGUGCACAGCCAGCAGUAGUAAAGGGGAAGUGGAAAUGGCUUACCAGUGGCGUUUCGUGUGUUGACAACAUGAUAUAUCGUGAAAGCUGAACUGAUAACGAACGGACUUUGAAGCGAAAACUUGCAUUCAGAUAGCUAUUUAUCGAAUGUGGCUCGAUUUAUAAUUGGCAAAAAAGGCAGGAAUGACGUUAAAUCAUAGUCUUAACCUUCAAAGAAUUCAACUACGGCCGCCAUGUUUUUUUUGACAUGGUUUGGAAAACCGCUGACAAUUCGCGGGCUUUUUCGCUAAAACAUUUGAUUUGAUUGGCCAAGAGUUGUGAUAAUAGAAGAGUUAUUAUUGGCUAUAGGUUACACUUGAGUCGACGAUUAGCUAUUAGCGAGUGACAACCCCGCUAACCGCAAAAAGUCCUGAAUAACUUCGCUAUCCACUUAAUAAGGGCAUUUUUCCCCCCCUCCCCUCUGGAAAUUCCUGGGCGUUUGAAUUUACAAUGGGGGGGGGGGGCAUGGAUAUUUCCUGGAACUACACAUUACAAAGUAAAUUCAACUACGGCCGCCAUGUUUUUUUUUACAUGGUUUGGAAAACCGCUGACAAUUCGGGGGCAUGGAUAUUUCCUGGAACUACACAUUACAAAGUAAAAGGGAAAAUAGAAAGAAGCACAUUGUGGCCACUCCCUAGCGGUAUGAGAGAGGUGGACAUCGGCGCGCUAGGAUGGUAGUUAUUCUGCUAUAUAUCAAACACACGCUAUAACAAGGACGUGCCUUCGGUUAGUCGUCAUUCCCAGACCUCGUUCAGUGCAGAGCUCCCUUACAAGAAGCAAAAGACAGGGGCUACAGGAGAUGAGAUUGAUAGAGAUUUGAAAGGCUUUAAAAUAAAUAAAAAAAUCAGUUUUUCUUA